AUGCAGUCGAGCGCACUCUUCGGAGUGAGCGGCGGACGGGUUAGUAACGCGUGGGAACAUACCCUUCUCUACGGAAUAGCCUCGGGAAACUGAGAGUAAUACCGUAUACGCCCUUCGGGGGAAAGAUUUAUCGGAGAAGGAUUGGCCCGCGUUAGAUUAGAUAGUUGGUGGGGUAAUGGCCUACCAAGUCUACGAUCUAUAGCUGGUUUUAGAGGACGAUCAGCAACACUGGGACUGAGACACGGCCCAGACUCCUACGGGAGGCAGCAGUGGGGAAUCUUAGACAAUGGGCGCAAGCCUGAUCUAGCCAUGCCGCGUGAGUGAAGAAGGCCCUAGGGUCGUAAAGCUCUUUCGCCAGGGAUGAUAAUGACAGUACCUGGUAAAGAAACCCCGGCUAACUCCGUGCCAGCAGCCGCGGUAAUACGGAGGGGGUUAGCGUUGUUCGGAAUUACUGGGCGUAAAGCGUACGUAGGCGGAUCAGAAAGUUGGGGGUGAAAUCCCAGGGCUCAACCCUGGAACUGCCUCCAAAACUCCUGGUCUUGAGUUCGAGAGAGGUGAGUGGAAUUCCAAGUGUAGAGGUGAAAUUCGUAGAUAUUUGGAGGAACACCAGUGGCGAAGGCGGCUCACUGGCUCGAUACUGACGCUGAGGUACGAAAGUGUGGGGAGCAAACAGGAUUAGAUACCCUGGUAGUCCACACCGUAAACGAUGAAUGCCAGUCGUCGGGCAGUAUACUGUUCGGUGACACACCUAACGGAUUAAGCAUUCCGCCUGGGGAGUACGGUCGCAAGA
rnacentral:rRNA from 1 species